rnacentral:lncRNA from 1 species
UUUAAAACAAGGAUUGGAUUAAGGAAUGCCCUUCGAGAAGAAAUCAGUGGUUCUGCAGAUAGAGAAGCUGUGCUUAUUACCUUGAAUAGGCCAAUUGUUUACCCACAACCUGUGGCCUUUGAUAGAGCUGUGCUAUUUUGCCUGAAUUAUAAGGCUGCCUAUGACAAUUGGAAUGAACAACGAAUGGCUUUACAUAAGGAUAUUCAUAUGGCAACAAGGGAAGUAGUAGAUAUGCUACCUGGUAUCCAGCAAACAUCAGCCCAGGCCUUUGGGACUCUCUUCCUCCAGCUGAAUGUGAAUGAUCUGGGAAUUUGCCUCCCUAUUGCAAAUACUGCACAGGUGUAAAAA